rnacentral:rRNA from 1 species
GUGAGUAGUUCAGAGUUUGAUCCUGGCUCAGAUUGAACGCUGGCGGCAGGCUUAAUACAUGCAAGUCGAACGGUAACAGCAGAAAAGCUUGCUUUUUUGGCUGACGAGUGGCGGACGGGUGAGUAAUACCUAGGAAACUGCCUAAACGAGGGGGAUAACAUUUGGAAACGAGUGCUAAUACCGCAUAAUACUGAGAAGUCAAAGGUUGGUUUACCAAUCGCGUUUAGAUGUGCCUAGGAGGGAUUAGCUAGUUGGUGGGGUAAAGGCCUACCAAGGCGAUGAUCUCUAGCUGGUCUGAGAGGAUGACCAGCCACACUGGAACUGAGACACGGUCCAG